rnacentral:rRNA from 1 species
CUCCAGACUCCUACGGGAGGCAGCAGUGGGGAAUAUUGCACAAUGGGGGAAACCCUGAUGCAGCGACGCCGCGUGAGCGAUGAAGUAUUUCGGUAUGUAAAGCUCUAUCAGCAGGGAAGAAAAUGACGGUACCUGACUAAGAAGCCCCGGCUAACUACGUGCCAGCAGCCGCGGUAAUACGUAGGGGGCAAGCGUUAUCCGGAUUUACUGGGUGUAAAGGGAGCGUAGACGGCUGUGCAAGCCAGAUGUGAAAGCCCGGGGCUCAACCCCGGGACUGCAUUUGGAACUGUGUGGCUGGAGUGUCGGAGAGGCAGGCGGAAUUCCUAGUGUAGCGGUGAAAUGCGUAGAUAUUAGGAGGAACACCAGUGGCGAAGGCGGCCUGCUGGACGAUGACUGACGUUGAGGCUCGAAAGCGUGGGGAGCAAACAGGAUUAGAUACCCGUGUA